ensembl:processed_transcript
CCAAGCCGGGUGGACACCACUGAGGCUUGGCAAAGAUUUCCUCCGGGGAAAAUCCCUCCGGAGUCCUCCGGGCCGGUGUCUGUCCACGAGAGGCAAAGAAUGUUGCUCCUACAAAAGAACUCUCCUGACAAAAGUCCACAGAGGACAGAGGGAUGGGAAUGAUUUCCACACUAGUUCCUAACUUUGAAUCAAACCAAGCCUGCAACGUAGUUCCCUGAAUCCCAAUGGGAGGAUUUGAUGAAGACAUCCCAUUUAGGAAUCUGCAUUUUUCUCCUUGGGCCACAGCUAUGCCUGCUUCUCUGGAGGCCUGCUGCCAUCCAGGGCAACAAGGUGGGAGCGAACAUCAGCCAUGCCGAGGAAGGGUGAAUAAAGCGGCUUCCCGGAAGGAGCAAUGUAUCUGUGUCCGAAAUAUAGUCUAUCUACUGGUGAAAGUUGGGUAUUGGAAUCAUCUACAGUUGAUAGCGGCCAGAAGAAAGACACCCAAGCACCUGUUCUAGGCCAGUCAGGCUUGUGGAAGCUGGAAGAAAGAUACCCAAGUACCCGGCCAUACUGACCCAGAAAGAAAGACAUAUAAACACCUACCUCUGGAAUCACUGUUAUUUGAAUGCGUGCUGGGGAGAUGGGAAAGACAAGAGUGCAUGGUGGAGAGAUGGAAGAGAAAAUGAAGCCAAGGUGUUUGUACAUUGUAGGGAAAGGUAGAACUAGAGAUGGUUGUGAGGAACAGGGAGAUAUGAGGAGGCCAUGGUGAGUUCCUACCCUGGGAUGCCACUAAGAGCCAUGUUUGCAUCUAUGGUCCUGUUGCAGCUGGGGUCAUUGUUGAUGUCUUGGCCUGAGUUAUCACCAAAGACCAAGUGGUCUAGGUUGCCACUGGAAAACGUGUGGAUAUCUGAGAGUCAUGCUGCUUAGGGGAGAUGUGCUGAUCUGAGUGGCCUGUCCUGUCACCUGAGGCCACAGGGACAUUUGGGCCCAGACUAGCGCAAUGGGCUAUGUCUUGGUCCUUGACCUCAUGGCAGCUGAGGUCUGCGUUGAUGUCCCAGUCUCAUGUAUUACCAAAGGCCAUGCAGAUGUCCCUAGGCUGGACUGCUGCUUGAGUACUGUGCUGAGCUGGAGUCCUGGUGGUGUGGGGAGGUGAUAAGUCCCAAAGGUGUGACUGGGGUAGAGCUGGCCCCGGGGUCCUGCCCCUUAUCUUCCCCACAGCAGUGGCAGAGAUAGCCAGGAGAGUGCCUCCCGGGGAACAGAAGAGCUGAUGGGCUAGCUAGCUCUAUUACCUGCCCAGAUCUAGGGCACUGAGUUGGCCCACUCCAACAUCUAUCCCAUGUAUGAACUGCUGGACUGCUGGGGCAUGUGAAAGGGCUAGUUUUGCAGAUCCAAAGCAGCAGGAUCUCCAUGACAUGGGGCAGAAAGAGAAUAUCCAAAAUGUGUCCCAGUGAGGAUCCAGUAUAGAUAGUAGAGCAGAAUCCAGAGACCUUGAAACAGACCAAUGACUUAUUGCAAUGAAUAUUUCCAAGUAAAAAUAUAUGGACAAAAGGGUGUACCAUGUGACACACUACAGCUUCCAGAGCAAGAAUUUUUUUUUUUUUAAUUCUGUCUCCUUUUCUUUUCUUCUGUUGGGGGAGGUUGUAAGGACAGAGGGCAGAGAACAGAUAUGAAGAGAUGGGGAGAUGAGUGAAAUUGGGUGUGCCAUGUAAAACACAUACAAAAAAAUUAAUAAAAAUUUAAAAAACA